UUAAAUGAGAGUUUGAUCCUGGCUCAGGAUGAACGUUGGCGGCGUGUCUAAGGCAUGCAAGUCGAGUGGGUUUAGACCCACGGCAAACGGGUGCGUAACACAUUGGUAAUUUACCCUUAACUCGGGCAUAACUCGCCGAAAGGCAAGAUAAUUCCCGAUGGUCAUGGGGGGACGAAAGUCAUUCCCAUGUAAAGAUUUAUCGGUUAAGGAAAAGCCUAUGGCCCAUCAGCUAGUUGGUAGGGUAAUGGCCUACCAAGGCAACGACGGGUAGCGGGUGUGAGAGCAUGACCCGCCUCACUGGGACUGAGACACUGCCCCGACUCCUCCGGGAGGCUGCAGUCAAGAAUAUUCCGCAAUGGCCGCAAGGCUGACGGAGCGACGCCGCGUGCAGGAUGACGCCCUUCGGGGUGUAAACUGCUUUUUUCUGGGACGAAAUUUUGACGGUACCAGAAGAAUAAGCCACUGCUAACCUCGUGCCAGCAGCAGCGGUAAUACGAGGGUGGCAAACGUUAUCCGGAUUUAUUGGGUGUAAAGCGUCUUCAGGCGGUUUACUAAGUUUUUGGUUAAAUCUAAAGGCCUAACCUUUAGCCCGCCAAAAAAACUGGUAGACUAGAGACCGGGAGAGGUCAGUGGAAUAGCCGGUGUAGUAGUAAAAUGCGUUAAUAUCGGCUAGAACACCAAUAGCGAAGGCAACUGACUAGAACGGUUCUGACGCUCAUAAGACGAAAGCGUGGGUAGCGAAUGGGAUUAGAUACCCCAGUAGUCCACGCUGUAAACGAUGGGUACUGAGUAUUGGAAGUAUCGACCCUUCCAGUAUUGUCAAUCUAAGCUAACGCCUUAAGUACCCCACCUGGGGAGUACGGUCGCAAGACUAAAACUCAAAGGAAUUGACGGGAGUCCGCACAAGCGGUGGAGCAUGUGGUUUAAUUCGACAAUAAGCGAGGAACCUUACCAGGGCUUGACAUGUUAGGAAUCUCGGCGAAAGUUGAGAGUGCCCGCAAGGGAGCCUAAACACAGGUGCUGCAUGGUUGUCGUCAGCUCGUGUCUUGAGAUGUUGGGUUAAGUCCUUUAACGAGCGCAACCCCUACUCUGUGUUAAAUAUUCACAGAGAACUGCCUCGGACAACGGGGAGGAAGGCGGGGAUGACGUCAAAUCAGCAUGGCUCUUACGCCCUGGGCCACACACGUGCUACAAUGGCGAGUACAGAGGGUCGCAAAAUCGCAAGAUGAAGCUAAUCCCAUCAAAACUCGUCCUAGUUCGGAUUGAGGUCUGCAAUUCGACCUCAUGAAGCUGGAAUCGCUAGUAACCGUGGAUCAGCCACGCCACGGUGAAUACGUUCUCGGACUUUGUACACACCGCCCGUCACGUCAAGAGAGUCGGUGGCACCCGAAAGCUGGCUUUACGCCGGACUAAGGUGAAAUCGAUGAUAGGGACGAAGUCGUAACAAGGCAUCCGUAGCGGAAGCUGUGGAUGGAUCACCUCCUUU
rnacentral:rRNA from 1 species